rnacentral:rRNA from 1 species
GUCUACUGCCACACCACCCUGAACGUGCCCGAUCUCAUCUGAUCUCAGAAGCUAAGCAGGAUCGGGCCUGGUUAGUACUUGGAUGGGAGAAAAGAAACUUUUCCAAAGAAGACA